AACACAUGCAAGUCGAGGGGCAGCAUAGGACGUAGCUUGCUAACUUUGACGGCGACCGGCGCACGGGUGAGUAACGCGUAUCCAACCUUCCCUGUACUAGGGGAUAGCCCGGCGAAAGUCGGAUUAAUACCCUAUGUUGUCUUAUGAGGACAUCCGACUUGUACCAAAGGUUCACCGGUAUAGGAUGGGGAUGCGUCUGAUUAGGUAGUCGGCGGGGUAACGGCCCACCGAGCCAACGAUCAGUAGGGGUUCUGAGAGGAAGGUCCCCCACAUUGGAACUGAGACACGGUCCAAACUCCUACGGGAGGCAGCAGUGAGGAAUAUUGGUCAAUGGGCGAGAGCCUGAACCAGCCAAGUAGCGUGCAGGAUGACGGCCCUAUGGGUUGUAAACUGCUUUUAUGCGGGGAUAAAGUGAGGGACGUGUCCCUUAUUGUAGGUACCGUAUGAAUAAGGACCGGCUAAUUCCGUGCCAGCAGCCGCGGUAAUACGGAAGGUCCGGGCGUUAUCCGGAUUUAUUGGGUUUAAAGGGAGCGCAGGCCGAUGGUUAAGCGUGACGUGAAAUGUAGGCGCUCAACAGCUGAACUGCGUCGCGAACUGGCUGUCUUGAGUGAGUUCGAUGUGGGCGGAAUUCGUGGUGUAGCGGUGAAAUGCUUAGAUAUCACGAAGAACUCCGAUUGCGAAGGCAGCCCACAAGGCCUUUACUGACGCUAAAGCUCGAAGGUGCGGGUAUCGAACAGGAUUAGAUACCCUGGUAGUCCGCACGGUAAACGAUGGAUGCCCGCUGUUUGCGAUAUACUGUGAGCGGCCAAGAGAAAUCGUUAAGCAUCCCACCUGGGGAGUACGCCGGCAACGGUGAAACUCAAAGGAAUUGACGGGGGCCCGCACAAGCGGAGGAACAUGUGGUUUAUUUCGAUGAUACGCGAGGAACCUUACCCGGCCUUGAACUGCAGCGAACGAUCAGAGAUCUUGACGCCCUUCGGGCGCUAUGGAGUGCUGCAUGGUUGUCUCACUCGUGCCUGGAGGGUCGCUUAGUGCAUA
rnacentral:rRNA from 1 species